rnacentral:rRNA from 1 species
UUUGCCUACGGGAGGCAGCAGUGGGGGAUAUUGCACAAUGGGGGGAACCCUGAUGCAGCGACGCCGCGUGGGUGAAGGAGCGUUUCGGCGCGUAAAGCCCUAUCGGCAGGGAAGAAGGAGGACGGUACCUGACUAAGAAGCCCCGGCUAACUACGUGCCAGCAGCCGCGGUAAUACGUAGGGGGCAAGCGUUAUCCGGAUUCACUGGGUGUAAAGGGAGCGUAGACGGCGACGCAAGUCUGGAGUGAAAGCCCGGGGCCCAACCCCGGGACUGCUCUGGAAACUGCGUCGCUGGAGUACGGGAGG